rnacentral:rRNA from 1 species
GAUGAACGCUGGCGGUGUGCCUAAUACAUGCAAGUCGAGCGAACAGACGAGGAGCUUACUCCUCUGACGUUAGCGGCGGACGGGUGAGUAACACGUGGAUAACCUACCUAUAAGACUGGGAUAACUUCGGGAAACCGGAGCUAAUACCGGAUAACAUGAUGAACCGCAUGGUUCAACAGUGAAAGACGGUCUUGCUGUCACUUAUAGAUGGAUCCGCGUCGCAUUAGCUAGUUGGUAAGGUAACGGCUUACCAGGGCAACGAUGCGUAGCCGACCUGAGAGGGUGAUCGGCCACACUGGAACUGAGACACGGUCCAGACUCCUACGGGAGGCAGCAGUAGGGAAUCUUCCGCAAUGGGCGAAAGCCUGACGGAGCAACGCCGCGUGAGUGAAGAAGGUCUUCGGAUCGUAAAACUCUGUUAUUAGGGAAGAACAAAUGUGUAAGUAACUAUGCACGUCUUGACGGUACCUAAUCAGAAAGCCACGGCUAACUACGUG